UACAGAGGGGGCAAGCGUUAUUCGGAAUUAUUGGGCGUAAAGGGCGCGUAAGCGGCUUUUCAAGUGACGGGUGAAAUCCCUCGGCUUAACCGAGGAACUGCCUGUCAGACUGGAAGGCUUGAGACCGGGAGAGGUGAGUGGAAUUCCCAGUGUAGCGGUGAAAUGCGUAGAUAUUGGGAGGAACACCAGUGGCGAAGGCGGCUCACUGGACCGGAACUGACGCUGAGGCGCGAAAGCGUGGGGAGCAAACAGG
rnacentral:rRNA from 1 species